CAAGUAUUGGUAGAAUGUAGGAAAAGUGAAUGAUUAUGUGCGUUUGAAUACCCAAUGUUUUUGGUGAUUGUGGUCUCUUCCUGCAAUAUAGUUUGUGAUUUUGUGUGGAAAGUUACUUAAUUCAAUUAAUCAACUUUGGCCAGGAAAGCUCAAGACUUGACCAUGAAGAAAAGAGUGCAGGUGGAAACAAGAGCAUCAGCUGCCAAAAAGCAUCCAAAGCUCUCAUUUUGAAGAAGAAUGACAUGCCUAUCUUCCUCAAAAGUGAAGGAAAGAGAUGAGCAGCAACCACGUUAUGUGAAUCAGCUUCUUCUUAGUCAAGAAGAAAUCAGUGGCGUGCCAUAUCACCUUCUCUUCAUUUCCUUGGCACCAGAAACCUUAGUCCACUGUAGGACGAAACAACAUUUGUUAACUAUCGGACCUUGAUCUCAUGGAGAGUAACUUGUAGCAGAGACUAUAAAAAGCAAU